AAAAUCAAUGUUUCUUUGAAAACAGAUAGUUACAGAGACAGUGAUGGUUCAUUAUGUGUCAACUUGGCUUGGCCGUGGGGCCCAGCUGCUUGGUUAAACACUAACUUGGAUGUUGCUGUGAAGGUAUUGUGUAGAUGUGAUUGAUACGUACAAUCAGCUGACUCUGAGUAAAGUAGAUUAUCCUCUUGAAUGUGGGUGAGCUUCAUCCAAUCAGCUGAAGGCUUUCAGAGCAGAGACUGAGCCUUUCCCGAGAAAAAAGGAAUUCUGCCUCGAGCCUGCAGCACAGAAACUCUGAGUGAGUUUCCGGAGGGCUUGGCCUGCUUUGCAGAUUUCGGACUCGAGAAGCAGAGGGAGCUAAAAUGAAUGAGCUGAGGUUGCUGCCGUCAUCAUCAAUGCUUCCAACGCACAAGGAUUUGAAAACCAGACACAUCACCUUUCCAUUCCACCUGAAACAUGGUUUGAACAGAGAGUAGGAGGGCACCCCUCACCUAGAAGAAGUGACAGGGUUUCGCCAUGUUGACCAGGCUGGCCUCUAACUACUGACCUCAAGUGAUCCACUGGCCUCAGCCUCCCAAAGUGCUGCAAUUACAGGUAUGAGCCACCACGCCCAGCCGGUCCUAUAUGAUUUAAAAGACAACUGCACGUGACAAUAAUUGUAAAUUUAUGUUGAUGGAUAUAACCUAUAUAAGACGUUACCUGUACGGCAAUAAUAGCACAAAAAAGAGGAGUGAAUGGAGUUAUACAGGAGCAACAGUUUUGUAUAUAAUUUCAAUUAAGCUGUUAUAAUUCAAACUAGAUUUUUAUAAACUAAGUUGUUCAUUGCAAUCCUCAGGGUAACAAGUAAGAAAAUAACUAAAAAAAUACAGGAAAGAAAUCAGUAAAAUGGCCCUCUCCCUCUCCCCCUACCCCUACUCCUACCCCUACCCCUACCCCUAUCCCUACCCCUACCCCUACCCCUACCUCUACCUCUCUUUCCACGGUCUCCCUCUGAUGCCGGGCCGAAGCUGGACGGUACUGCUGCCAUCUCAGCUCACUGCAACCUCCCUGCCUGAUUCUCCUGCCUCAGCCUGCCGAGUGCCUGCGAUUGCAGGCGCGCGCCGCCCCGCCUGACUGGUUUUCGUGUUUUUUUGGUGGAGACGGGGUUUCGCUGUGUUGGCCGGGCUGGUCCCCAGCUCCUAACCGCGAGUGAUCGGCCAGCCUCGGCCUCCCGAGGUGCCGGGAUUGCAGACGGAGUCUCGUUCACUCGGUGCUCAAUGGUGCCCAGGCUGGAGUGCAGUGGUGUGAUCUCGGCCCGCUACAACCACCUCCCAGCCGCCUGCCUUGGCCUCCCAAAGUGCCGAGAUUGCAGCCUCUGCCCGGCUGCCGCCCCGUCUGGGAAGUGAGGAGACCCUCUGCCUGGCAACCGCCCCGUCUGAGAAGUGGGGAGCCCCUCCGCCCAGCAGCCGCCCCGCCCGAGAAGUGAGGAGCCCCUCCGCCCAGCAGCCACCCCGUCUGGGAAGUGAGGAGCAUCUCCGCCCGGCAGCCACCUCGUCCGGGAGGGAG